AACUUGAGAGAUCUUCCUCUUCCUCCAAAACUUGAACUUUCCUUCGGAUUCAAUGGAAAGUGGUAGAGAUAGAGAAGACCCUUUGUCAUUUACAAGCAACCCAUCGGCGUCGUCUCCGACAACCUCGACAGCUAUGUCGGCGAACUCACCUCUCAUUCUGGGAGCUUCCAGAGCGAGAGCUUGCUCGGUGGUGGUGGAGAGAGCAUCAACGAUUCUGAUUUCGGACUCCCCCGUCCAGAUUUCCGACUAAGCCAAAUCACCGGGUCCGUACAGUUCUACGACAGGCAUGUCUUCUUGUGCUACAAGAAGCCCUCCGUCUGGCCCGCAAGAAUCGAAGCGGCGGAGUUUGAUCGGUUACCGUGGAAACUCUCCGCCACCAUGUCGGCGAAGAAGGGCAAAAUGAAGAAAGAUGUAAUAAUCUUCUUCACUUGGCGAGAUUUAUAUCUCAUAUACCAGAUGAAAGCAAUUCUGUUUUUCCAAAGUUAUUGGACUAAUCUUCUUGCUGAAAUAUCAUCGAUAUUGAUAUCAUUCAUGAACUCUGUCUUGUCAUCAUUCAUGAACUUUUUCUUGUUGUCUAGCUUCCUGUCUGAUAGCUUUUUGCCACUGGUUCACAGACCCAACUCACGGUACACAGAAGGCUGUCUCAUUUUGAAGCGGUGCUUGUGAAGGAUAGCGAAUGGUUUCCGGGAAAUCCAGAAUUCCUUGAAGGCUCAUAUGUGGGCCAUCACUGGUUAGUAGAUUCAGAGAAGAAAUAGAAUUACAUGUUCUUCGAGAUAAAGUAUCGGUCAGCCCAUGUUCUCACAUUAGUGCACACAAAUUCGGUGGAAACGUUACCAUCUAUUAAAGAACCGAUGGGGAAGCCGCAGGGCACUGGUAAGAGUUCAAGUUUCCAUUUAUUUGUAAAUGGAAGUUGAGUGCAACCAUUCAUAUUUAUGACAGGUUGGCGGCUUGAAAGUUAAAUAAAAGCUACACCGGAAGUUCUGUUCUGUGCAAUGUCUGAUUGAUAUCACCCUGUUUUUGAACUGAGGACUGAGUCAUUCUUGUUUCUAGGUAUGUGAGUGUGACUCCAGAUGAUGUGCCUGUUUUGUUGGAGCAGCACAUCUGCAAGGGCGAAAUUGUAGACUUGGCUAUGGAGGGGUGAAAUGGGUCUAUCGGGGAAGAGCCGAAGAAAACUCAAGAACAAAGGAUCCAGUCAAGCGGUU